rnacentral:rRNA from 1 species
UCCUACGGGAGGCAGCAGUAGGGAAUCUUCCGCAAUGGACGAAAGUCUGACGGAGCAACGCCGCGUGAGUGAAGAAGGUUUUCGGAUCGUAAAACUCUGUUGUCAGAGAAGAACAAGUUGGAGAGUAACUGCUCCAGCCUUGACGGUAUCUGACCAGAAAGCCACGGCUAACUACGUGCCAGCAGCCGCGGUAAUA